GAAACACGGACCAAGGAGUUCAACUGGAUUGCGAGUCGUCGAGUUUAUCACUAAACUCUUCUUCUUUUUCCGGCGAAGCGAAAGCAAAAUUGUGCCAUGUUCUUUAUUGUAACUGCAGCACAGGCUGAUUAAGUAUAUUCAUAGUAUGUUUUCAUAGUGUGUCUACUUGUCUUUUUUUCAAUUUAUUGAAAUUUUUACAAGAUUAAUCAAGCUAAAGAGCACUUUAGUUGAGACCCGAAAGAUGGUGAACUAUGCUCGGACAUGGUGAAGCCAGGUGAAAACUUGGUGGAAGCUUGCGUUGUGCGGAACUGACGUGCAAAUCGUUGCCGCCUGACCUGAGUAUAGGGGCGAAAGACUCAUCGAACCAUCUAGUAGCUGGUUCCCUCCGAAGUUUCCCUCAGGAUAGCUCGAAUUUAUAUAUUUUUUUAAUGAGUAACACAAGGGUAAAGCAAUGAGACGCGGUAUCUGUGGGUCUUUUUGAAUGACCUCGGCCUUCUCUCAAACUUUAAAUCUGUGCGAUUACGUGUGCUUACUUUGAAUGUUUUUUUAAUUCAGUGAAGUCACGUUUUUUUAUAUUGUAUCUAAAAUUCGUAGUGGGCCAUUUCUGGUAAGCAGAACUGGCGAUGAGGGAUUCAACCUGACGUUCUCAAGAUAAGCCGGGCUUAAUCAUAUCUGCUCCAACCUUCCGAUAAACGCGA
rnacentral:rRNA from 1 species